rnacentral:rRNA from 1 species
GACGAACGCUGGCGGCGUGCUUAACACAUGCAAGUCGAGCGGAAAGGCCUCCUCGGGGGUACUCGAGCGGCGAACGGGUGAGUAACACGUGAGUAAUCUGCCCUUCACUCUGGGAUAGCCACCGGAAACGGUGAUUAAUACCGGAUACGACACGUCCAGGCAUCUGGUGCGUGUGGAAACUUUUUGGGUGGGGGAUGUGCUCGCGGCCUAUCAGCUUGUUGGUGGGGUAAUGGCCUACCAAGGCUUCGACGGGUAGCCGGCCUGAGAGGGUGACCGGCCACAGUGGGACUGAGACACGGCCCAGACUCCUGCGGGAGGCAGAAGUGGGGAAUCUUGGACAAUGGGCGGAAGCCUGAUCCAGCAACGCCGCGUUAGGGAUGACGGCCUUCGGGUUGUAAACCUCUUUCAGCACCGACGAAGCGAUCCUUUGGGGAGCGACGGUAGGUGCAGAAGAAGGACCGGCCAACUACGUGCCAGCCGCCGCCGUAAGAC